GCAUGACUGGCUGUUCCCCGCCGGCGGCGGGCGCUCCGCUCCUUCCACGGGCCCGCGGAGCUGUCCCUCAGCGCGGGGUGUGGAGGGGCGGUGGCAGCACGGGCGCGGUUGCGGCGGAGUCCGGAGGCGGCGCUGACAGGACGGCGCGCGGAGGCGCUGCGGGCCGCGGCUGUCGCCCCCGGCCCGGAGCAGCCCGCAGCAGCCCGGCCGUGCUGAGCUCUGCCCGGCCCGGAGCAGCCGGACCCGGAGCAGCUCGGCCGUGCUGAGCCCGGCCCGGCCCGGCCCGGCCCGGCCCGAGGUGUGCACUUUCAUCAGUUUUCGACUGCACGGUGUCACCGGUAUUUGUCCCCGGCUUCAUUAUAGCGAUCGCUCUGGAGCACUGCAUUUCUUUCUCCACUCGAAAGCUCUUCUGUCAUAAUCCUCUGACAAUCCCCCUUGUUCGGGGAGUGAGGAAGAAGCAGAAGUUUUAGCCAUCUUCCCAUGGCAUCUGACUUUUUUGAAGAGGAGGACUUUUCAACCACUUGAUGGAAGGGAAAUAAGAAGUUUGUUUCAAGGCUCUUAUGUCAUUCAUCAGUGCUGUUAACAAACGUGGGGCUUAAGGAUACAUUUGCUGCUUCUCUGCAUUUUUGCUGAAGAUUGCACCCAAGAGAGAAACAGUGAGAUGCACAGUGGGGAAAAUGAACCCAGCAGUCCAUCCUAUCCUGUACCUGCCUGAGUAUGGGAAGAGACAUAGUACAAGCCAGAAUGCAGCUGGGCUUGCAGUAUUUUUAACCAUAUUAAGUCCUGUUCAGAGUUAAUGAUGAGCUCAGUGACAUGGUCUCAGCAGUGCUGAAGAAGGGAAGGACAGAACUGGAAGGCAGGAGCUGUUUCAAAGCAGGAUUUUUCAUCUUUCUGUAAUGCCCAAGCAUGAAGACUUUAUAAACUUCAUUAGAUCCUGCCAUCAAUGACUGAUCCUCCCUGAAAUCUUAUCAGUUACUGCCAAGAUGAGAAGGAUAACAGGAAGGAGGAGUGCUUAAGUGGCUUUAAUGACAGUUAAUUUCUUCUAUUUAUCAAAUGACAGGUUGUUUUUUCCUCAAAACUCGAUUGUCAUGACAAGAUGCUUUUGGAAGUUAUCUUUGUAAAAUAAAACUGACAAUUUUUAGGCUACAAAGAGCUAUUGUAUCUUUCUAUUGAAUGUUGUCAUUAUGGUAAACUGCUGGAAAGUCUUUAUUUUUGAAGUAAUUUAACUUGCAUACUUCAUUCAUUUAUUUUAAUAUCUGUUGAAUGCCAUGUGAAAAGUUGUUUGCCAGAAUUCUUUUAUUCAAUGGAAUAGUUAUUGUUACAAUACUCAAUUUAUUAAUGUCUAAAUUACUGUUGCCCUAGCCUCCUGCAAAAAUGUUUUUUAGUAAUUCUUAAACAAAUAAGGAAUGAAUGAGGUUUUGUUCCCUUUGUGUUUUGAUCAGCGUAUUUUCCCUUUCAAUGAAAGUGUCUUCAGUUUUUGGAAUGACACAACACAAAGAAAGGUGUUUUGGUUUUUGGUUGUUUUUUUUUUUCAACAGCACAUGUCUUUUGUGCAAUGAUUUUUUAAUAUGUACAGUGCCAAGAUACAAUUACUGGAAGAAGAGAGAAGCUGUUGGGAAUGUCAUGUUAUGCCAAAUUAAGAAUUAUUAGCUCCUACUUUCUGUGCAAUCUCUUCGACUAGAACUCGACCUAUUGCGUCUGGCGUAUACUUUGACUCUAGUGGAACUAAUGUGUCCUUGGAGUAGCAUUUCAGAGUAACUUCAGAUUCAUGCUUUUUUCACAAGUCUGCUUUAAACUGCUGGGAUUAACUUCAGAGAAGGCGAGAGAUACAGGCUCCUUUGUCAGCAGCUGUGCUGGUUAAAGAAGGAGGCUUCAUGCACGCUCCUUGUUCAUUCUCUCCCUGCUAGGGAAGCAAACUGAACUGUUUCCCUGAGCACACGCAGACUGACUUCAGCCAAAGUUAAUGGUGUUAUCAAAUAUUAGUUAUCCAGUGCCCUGGGUCGCUCUGAUGAAAGGACAGGGCAUCCACAGGCAGCUGUGCAGACGUCAUGUCUGGGAAGGGUGGUGUGUUGACAGGAGUGUUGCUGAGGACUGGCCCUGGUGUGUCGCCUUUUCAGCAGGUGCAGUUACAUCCCUUGGAUGUGGUAGAAAUUGGACGUGUUAGAAAGCUGUGCAGAUCUGUCAUGCAUAAUAUUCACAUUCCAGAGACACCCUGGAUAAUGCAAAAUAAACCUGUGCUCUUUGACUUA